rnacentral:rRNA from 1 species
UACGUAGGGGGCGAGCGUUAUCCGGAAUUAUUGGGCGUAAAGAGUACGUAGGUGGUUUUGUAAGCGUGGGGUAAAAGGCAAUGGCUCAACCAUUGUAAGCCUUGCGAACUGCAAGACUUGAGUGCAGGAGAGGAAAGUGGAAUUCCUAGUGUAGCGGUGAAAUGCGUAGAUAUUAGGAGGAACACCAGUGGCGAAGGCGACUUUCUGGACUGUAACUGACACUGAGGUACGAAAGCGUGGGGAGCAAACA